UACGGAGGAUGCGAGCGUUAUCCGGAUUUAUUGGGUUUAAAGGGUGCGCAGGCGGAUUUUUAAGUCAGCGGUCAAAUCGUGGGGCUCAACCCCAUCCAGCCGUUGAAACUGGGGAUCUAGAGUGUGCGAGAGGUAUGCGGAAUGCGUGGUGUAGCGGUGAAAUGCAUAGAUAUCACGCAGAACCCCGAUUGCGAAGGCAGCAUACCGGUGCACAACUGACGCUCAGGCACGAAAGCGUGGGUGUCGAACAGG
rnacentral:rRNA from 1 species